rnacentral:rRNA from 1 species
UACGUAGGGUGCAAGCGUUAAUCGGAAUUACUGGGCGUAAAGCGUGCGCAGGACGGUUUUGUAAGUCUGACGUGAAAUCCCCGGGCUCAACCUGGGAAUUGCGUUGGAGACUGCAAGGCUAGAAUCUGGCAGAGGGGGGUAGAAUUCCACGUGUGAGCAGUGAAAUGCGUAGAGAUGUGGAGGAACACCGAUGGCGAAGGCAGCCCCCUGGGUCAAGAUUGACGCUCAUGCACGAAAGCGUGGGGGAGCAAACAGG